ACCUUUCAAAUCAGGGUGCGGCGCGGCCCCCGAGGAGCGGAAACAAUCCUUGGGAGGUAUGCGGGGGGCUUCGAGCCCCCCAUUUACGCACGCACGACUGCCAUCCUUACUUUACGAGCACCUUCUGUUCUCCCUCGGCGGGGCAACCUGCCGUUGGAACCGAAUAAGCUCUUUUUGCAUCUAGCAUUACCUGUUCCGAAACAAACAAUCGUUA
rnacentral:misc_RNA from 1 species